AACUUUCAGACAAGAGCCAUUGAUCACACCAAGAAAUCAAUAUUCAGUGCUCAUCAAGGGCCAAUACCUUCCAUCCUGAUAUCAUCAGAGGAUGCAGAUGUUGAACAAGUGAUUGCACCGGAGCCAAAGAAUCAGACAGCUAAGAGCCUGUGCUGGAGGUGUGAUGAGAAGUGAAGUGUGCGUGGUUAUGCAGAAAUUACUGGGACUGGUGUCGGCAGUACGCCGAGGACAGAGUACUGGAGACAUUCUGUGACCCUAGUUCCCCUGAGAUGCGUGCCUGUGUACAACAGCACGCGUGCAUGGGCCUAAUGACUGAAGCCAGCGAUGGAACUUUUUUUCCAUCAGCAAGUUCAGAGAAGGAGCUGGGGCACAGGUCCUCAGAGGUGCCAGGGAUGCAGCUAGCCUGACGUAAGGACCUCCCCAUGGCACUUUGGUUAACUAAAAUCAAUGCACUUGCCAGGCAGCAUUUUUAUUGAGGUUUCCCUCCACCCUGCCCCUCUCCCCCUCAAUUUAAUGGUUUAUUUAGUUGACUAUGAAUUUCAUUCUGCUCGGAGAGCCCUGCACAGCAGAAUCGCUGUUCAGCCGCAGAAGAGGCACAAGAGAUCCGCACGCACAUCAGGUCUCAUGCAGGGAGAACGCGAAUAAUUCUCAUCCCCCCCGUUCGCUCCCCCACAGCAAGGGCUAAACCACGCUCGUUUCCAGCGGAGCCCCGUGGCCUCUCCCCGUAGCCAGCAUGCUGGCUGCAGUCGGUCGGUGCGGACUCUUCCCUCGCAGGUAAUCCUCUUCAGCAUCUGCACCUCGCGUGUGGGGAAACCUCCGACGGGGGGACCGCAACCCUGCACCGCAGCCUCGGGAUGGGACAUUGAGCCAGCUCCGUCUCAGUGGCACAGACCCCAGCUGUGGUCUCCUGCCCGAGCCUGUUCUCCAUCCCGUGACAGAUGUGCCGCAACAUCUGGCAGUCUGUCUCCCUCUAUUUUAAAAGGUCUGGCUUCACUGUGUCGGGCCAUCCAGGCCAGAAUACCUGAGCAGAGCUAGAUGAAGUAAUGGGGAGGAGUAGACCUCAGGGACACCAACUUGCAUUAAGAUUCGAAGAGCUGUCUGCGUGGGAACGCUGCCAGCAAAGGCGACUGCUAGCCAGGCAAGGCUAAGGUGACAACCUGUUCUGGGAGAAGCUUUCUGGCUUUGCUGGAGUAUUGGAUAUUAAGGUCUGAUCCUGCAUCCAUCCAAGUCCAGAAUAGUUUCUCCACUGACUUUAGAGGCAUCUCUGAACAAUCUGAUGACUUUUUUUCCCCUAUCUUGAACAGGUAUCUUACAUGGAGGGUACUGUAUUCCCUUGACCUGUCUGCCAGGCAGGUCAUCUGCUGUUCCCCUAAUUGCAGCAGGAGUUACUUUCCUGAAGUUAAAAUGGCUGUUUUCCUUUCCUGAGCACAAAGGGGCAGUAGAAGAGACCUGGCUGCGAAAGCCCUUGCCAGGAAAAGGCGGCUUUUAUUGCAUUCUCGGGCUGGAGGAACAUUUUUGGAGAGAUGCGAGAGUGAAAUAAGACACUGGCUGUGUGAGUCAUGGCUCAGACGUGCUCUCUAUUCCAAGGGGACAGCUGGUGGCACCAACAAAACAUCUCCCUAGAUACAUUGUCUGGCAGCAAUCCCCCUCCUGCUUUUUCCAGCUGUAACUACCGUUACGUGAUAAAUAAAUAAACACUCUGACAGUGAUGUGCAGAGGCAGAUUUCCUUCCCUCGGCCCCUGUAGGCUCUCACCUGUCCCUCUCCUCCUGCUGCAGGACCGCAAUGCUAAGAUUUAAAAGAAGGGGCAAGAAACACCGGUGUCGGACCCCGCAGCAUCCCAUGGCUUUGACCUGGACGGUGCCCGCGUCCCUCUGCGCAGGGUGGCAGCUCCCCGUGAAAGGCACUAAACCAGCGCUGAAGUGAGCUGUGGUGCCAGCAGAGAGAAACGAUGCUCUCGCCUCCUUGCCUGCCUUAUCUUCACAGCUAAAGCCUCGGCCUCCCUGGCCCGCGACCCCCAACCCUCGCACGCCCAUUACCACGCUGCUGUAUUGCUGGGAAGGAGUCUGUUUUGUUGGCGGGCGCUGCUGGCUGACUGAUGAAUUCAAAGCCCGACUGGAAGUUAAUGAUGGCUCCAAGCAGCACAACCUCCUUCCUGCUGGGUUUCUGCUGCAGUUUUACUGGGAGCAGUUGAAGGGGAAGGUCAGCCCUAGCCAUGCUGCAGGUGCUUAAAGCCACAGGAAUUUAUUUUCUGCACCACCCAGUGCUAACGAAGGGGUGGUGGGGAGAGCUGCUGAACCGUAGUCAGCUCUCUGCAGUUUACAUGCACGCAGCAGCAAAUCCUCUCUAGCAUUUGACUCUGUAUUUUAACAUAGUUCCAGACAUCAGCAAAUCAAUUAAAGUUCCUUACUACUGAAGCCUGAAUGUUUUCUGGAACAGCUGGUAAAUUAUUGAAUGAGACAAGGCUUAGGAAAAGAGGCUGGACUGAAAGGCAGAAAGAUUUUGUUUAUGCACAAAUAUUGUGUAUCCAGCAGCCAGGGGAUGUGCCCUUUGGACUGAGUAAUGAUCAGUUUAAUAUCAAAUACGUCUUUCUGGAAAGACUGGCUGAAGUUGAAGAGAGGGAUCAUCAUUAGACAUGAUGAUCUGAGAGGUGGCUCUUCUCUCUAAAUGCCACGACCCCAUGAAAGCUGUCACAAAUGCACGGCCUUUGUCUGAGUCACUGCUUGAAUCAUGAAGGCUGCAACGUGUCCCGUCGUGGGUUAUGAAUGUUCCUGACACUGGGUGGGACAUGGUAUCCAUUCCAUAAGCUAAUUUAGGUGGGGCUGGACAAGCACCUUGCGUGCCUGCUGAGGUGAUCCAGCCUGCCUGCCGCCUGGUCGAUGCCGGCAUGAGCAAAACUUCCCAGUGCUCCUUCUGGAUCCCCUGGGAAAAAGGGCCCUUCAGGAAGACGGCGUAUGACAGGGAGGAGAGCCCUCAGCUCAUGCAUAGCAGACCUCAGAUGAAAUCCCCUUUCUCGCUCAGAGGCAAAAUUUCACUGAUUUUAGCAAGCCAGGUUCCUCGUUGUGCUUUGGAUUUCUAGCACCUCUUUGUUUUGGUUUUCUCCUCCUCCCUUUGGUCUGUUUGUAACACAGGGAUGGAUCCAGAAAAGGGCCGCGCGCUUCUUCCAGCCAUCGUGUGACCGGGAGAACAAGCCCCGUUAGGCAACGCUAAUGGGAAACCAGGGCCCCUCUGGAUCCACAAAGGCAGAGGCUGAUUUUGGUCUGCACUGCACAGGUUGUCCUUCCAGAUGUGGAUUGUGAGACAAGUCGCCAUGGCCAGCCAGCCCAGGUAAGGCACCAUCAGCAGCGCUGCUAUCUUGU